rnacentral:rRNA from 1 species
AAAUUGAAGAGUUUGAUCAUGGCUCAGAUUGAACGCUGGCGGCAGGCCUAACACAUGCAAGUCGAACGGUAACAGGAAGCAGCUUGCUGCUUUGCUGACGAGUGGCGGACGGGUGAGUAAUGUCUGGGAAACUGCCUGAUGGAGGGGGAUAACUACUGGAAACGGUAGCUAAUACCGCAUAACGUCGCAAGACCAAAGAGGGGGACCUUCGGGCCUCUUGCCAUCGGAUGUGCCCAGAUGGGAUUAGCUAGUAGGUGGGGUAACGGCUCACCUAGGCGACGAUCCCU